CAAAUGGAGAGUUUGAUCCUGGCUCAGGAUGAACGCUGGCGGCAUGCCUAAUACAUGCAAGUCGAACGGGAGGAAGGAAAGCUUGCUUUCCUGAAUCUAGUGGCGAACGGGUGAGUAACACGUAGGUAACCUGCCCAUGUGCCCGGGAUAACUUCUGGAAACGGAUGCUAAAACCGGAUAGGUAGCAGACAAGCAU
rnacentral:rRNA from 1 species